rnacentral:rRNA from 1 species
GACGAACGCUGGCGGCGUGCUUAACACAUGCAAGUCGAACGGAAAGGCCCUGCUUUUGUGGGGUGCUCGAGUGGCGAACGGGUGAGUAACACGUGAGUAACCUGCCCUUGACUUUGGGAUAACUUCAGGAAACUGGGGCUAAUAUCGGAUAGGAGCUCCUGCUGCAUGGUGGGGGUUGGAAAGUUUCGGCGGUUGGGGAUGGACUCGCGGCUUAUCAGCUUGUUGGUGGGGUAGUGGCUUACCAAGGCUUUGACGGGUAGCCGGCCUGAGAGGGUGACCGGCCACAUUGGGACUGAGAUACGGCCCAGACUCCUACGGGAGGCAGCAGUGGGGAAUAUUGCACAAUGGGCGGGAGCCUGAUGCAGCAACGCCGCGUGCGGGAUGACGGCCUUCGGGUUGUAAACCGCUUUCGCCUGUGACGAAGCGUGAGUGACGGUAAUGGGUAAAGAAGCACCGGCUAACUACGUG